rnacentral:pre_miRNA from 14 species
AAAUUGUCAAAAAGGCGAUCAGGGUUUUGUGACCGUUGUUACGGUCAAUUUCAUUCAGAAGCUAUGACCGUAAUCCCGUUCACAACAUCUUGUUUAGCUUGACUCAUGAAUUG